GUUUUGAAGGGUUUUAGGGUUGGAGGGUUUUAGCUUUGGAGGGUUUUGAAGGGUUUUAGGGUUGGAGGGUUUUGAAGGGUUUUAGGGUUGGAGGGUUUUGAAGGGUUUUAGGGUUGGAGGGUUUUGAAGGGUUUUAGGGUUGGAGGGUUUUGAAGGGUUUUUAGAUUGGAGGGUUUUGAAGGGUUUUAGGGUUGGAGGGUUUUAGGGUUGGAGGGUUUUGAAGGGUUUUCAGAUUGGAGGGUUUUUGAAAGGUUUUAGGGUUGGAGGAUUUUAAACGGUUUUAGGGUUGGAGGGUUUUUGAGGAUUUUAGGGUUGGAGCAUUUUGGGUAGGAGGUUUAUUUAGGGUUUUUGGGGUGGGAGUGUUUUAGGGUUGGAGGGUUUUGGUGAGUUUUAGGGUUGGAGAGUUUUAGGGUUGGAGGAUUAUAAGGUUUUAAGCGUUGUGGUGUAGUGGUUUAUGUUCGUGUUAGUGUUGGGGUUCCAGGAGGUGUGGCUUCUCUUCUGCCUUUUGGCUGGUUUAAGACUAAAAACUGUUGCAUCCUGCGUCAUGAAGCGAUUUAUGACAACAAAAGUCACUUUUUGCUUCUGUCCCUCUCUGGCGUACUGGUUAGUGUUUGUGUUUUGGUUUGUGCAGGUUCUAACCCUUCUUUUAGCUGGCUUAAGAACAAACUACGCUGUUGAAUUGUGAAGUUUUUCAUAAAGUCCAAAAAACACAUUCACACCCAGGUACUGUUUAAAGCCAUCUGUGGUUAGUGUCAGAGUUGAGGUUCCAGAGGGUGUGGGUUCUCUUUUGCCUUUUGUCUGGUUUAGGACAUAAAAUUGAUGCAUCCUCAUGAAGUGAUCUAGGAAGUCCAACACACACUUGUUAUGUUUGUCCCUCUGUGGUGUAGUGGUCAGUGUCAGUGUUGGGGUUCCAAAAAGUGUGUUCUCUUCUGCCUUCUGGCUUGUUUAAGACUAAAAAUUGCUGUGUCCUCAUGAAAUGAUUUAUGAAGACAAAAGUCCAACACACAUGUGGGAGUUCUGUCCCUUGGUG
ensembl:lncRNA